rnacentral:rRNA from 1 species
CAGUAGCGUAAUACAGAGGGUGCGAGCGUUAAUCGGAUUUACUGGGCGUAAAGCGUGCGUAGGCGGCUUCUUAAGUCGGAUGUGAAAUCCCUGAGCUUAACUUAGGAAUUGCAUUCGAUACUGGGAAGCUAGAGUAUGGGAGAGGAUGGUAGAAUUCCAGGUGUAGCGGUGAAAUGCGUAGAGAUCUGGAGGAAUACCGAUGGCGAAGGCAGCCAUCUGGCCUAAUACUGACGCUGAGGUACGAAAGCAUGGGGAGCAAACAGGAUUAGAUACCCGGGUAGUCCCUGUCUCUUAUACACAU